rnacentral:tRNA from 1 species
AAGGAAGGCCAAUAGGCAAUAAGCACUGCUAAUACUUACACCCACGGUUAAAUUCCGUGGCUUCCUUA